AAAGGAGGGCUGAGCAGCGGAGGGAGGAGGGAGCCAUUUCUCUCCACUGACGGCAACCUCCGUGCUCACAGCUCACAUUUCCCUGCCAUCCAGAGGCCUCCUCGGCCAAGGACUCCAUCAUGCUGGAUAUUUUCAUUCUGAUGUUCUUUGCCAUCAUAGGCUUGGUCAUUCUCUCCUACAUCAUCUAUCUGCUCUAGUUGCCUGCAGCUGCGGAGCCCACAGGAGAACGGCGCGGGAGGAGGAUGAAGCUGGCCGGCCCAGCAUCCUGCUUGCUGACGCACCGCUGGAGUUUUGCUUCUGGUCAUUAUUUCGGUUCCUGGUCUCCAGUUCAACAAGGGGCCUCUUACCAACAGCAGCUGUCCUGCCGCCCAACAGACCUCCGCCCGAGCCUUCCGGAUAUGGCUAACCCCUCAAGGAAGGGACUUUUUGAGUUCAGAGUCGGAGGCACUCGGCUGGGACAGUAGGAAUUCAUGGCAUGGCUGGCAGGUGUGCGUGCUUUGAGCUAUGAACUGAAAAGGACACAGAGAGCUGAAAUGCAGACUUACUAAAAUGCUCAUGGAGAACUUCUCAAAAUUCAUUUUGGUAGGAUAGCCUUUCCUUCGGUCUUUUCUUUCCCUCACAGGAAAGGUGUUCCUUUGUUAAGUCCGAGACCACAUGGUCUCUGGUGACCUAGUCACUUUAUCACUGUCUAGAGAUGGUACAGUCUGGGGUUAUGCGGUUUCCUUUGACUUCGUCGCUAGCCAGAAGGAACUUGUCAUUGAGCUUUUAAGAUUUACUUUCCCCACUCCCUGCCCUACCACUUGCGCUCCAGCUCCCCAUUUGAAGAGAGAAACAGUUGGUUCUAUAGUUCUCAUUCUUUGUGCUUGGCGGAGCCAUAAAUUAUCGAGACAAGAUGGCUAUGCUUGGUAUUUGGGAGAAAUCUCUCUCUUACUGCAAAGUAAGUGUUUUUUUUAAGUUGUCAAAUGUUCCUUUUCUGGAAAAAAACCUUUCAAUGUAUUUUCUGUCCAAUUAAGGUUGAAGAAACCAUAUAUUUUGGGGUCCAGAAAAGACUUUGAAAAAUCCAUCAUAAUUGUUUUACAUUUGAUUUUUUAGCUUAAAAAUAAACAAGAAAGAUGAACUUAAUAGUUUUUACCCAUGACAUCGUGUUCCAUUUCCAUGUUUUAAAAAGAAAUAAAAUUAAGGCAGUAUACUAUAAUGUCAAUUAAAAUGAAAAACUUGCAUUUUAGAAUUCUGGCCAAGAAAAAACACUGUUCUAGAAGCUUUUUGUCUUGGCAACAAAUUAUGUGACUUUCAAUAAGUCAUUGAACCUUUCAGGGUUUCAUUUUAUUCCUACAAAUGGAAGCAAUGGACUAGAAAAUUGUUAAUAUCCACUUUAAAGUUCUACAAUUCUAGGAUGCAUUAUCUUUGAAAACUACAUCUUCGAGAACAGAAAUCCCAUGAAAAAAACUCUUAAUAGUUACCAGUAGUUCACUUUACUGCUCUCCCCAAAUGACAUUUUAUGAUGAAAACUCAACUACAAGACUUUUUUGGCACACUGUGAGGGAAAAAAUGACUAUUUUUUACCCCAAACAUAUAUCAGUGAUACUUUGCCUAAGGUGUUUACAUACUACAUGGUGGUAUGUAACAAAAAUAGGUGAUCUGACAGACACACCAAUGCAAAAGCCUGGCUCUGAACAUUAAUAUAUUCAGGGGUGAUCUUUAGUUAUCUGUGGAGUCCUUGACAUGACAUUUCCCAGUAAAACAUUCCUCUGACUCUUUGGCAUAGCUUUUCUUCUUCAAGUCAAGAUAGUAGCUCUAUGUCCUUACCUAGGUAAGUGGGGAAGUGUCAGUAUUUUGGAGGGGCCCAAGUAACAGUUAAUUAUUGUGGUCUAAUCUUCAUGGUAUAGUCUCUAACCAAGCUCGCUCUGAAGUUUAUGAGGUCAAGGCUCUUCAGUCUGUAUCCAUACAAAGUUGAAGUGACUAAUCAAUUCAGAGAAAACAAUCAGCCAAUUUUCAGUUAUACACCAGUGAUAUAUACCACUGGCACUGGGCACCAUAUAAGGACAGAAAGAUUAUCCAUAUUUUCAGUUACUUGUGAAAUAAUUACAUUUUGGAAGAAAUUUUAUGACUUUGUGCUUAUAUCCAUCCUAUAAUAAUGCCAGUUUAUAACAGUGAUUUAUAGUGUUCAUCAUUUUGAUAAUUUUUUAAAAUUUCAUAUUUGAACUUUUUGUACAUAAAACACUGGGAAACAUUACUUCUGUGAUAUAAGGUUUGUUUUAAUCCUCAUCCAAGGAUAGUCUUCCAUUGAAUUUUUAGGAUGAGUGGAAGAGAGAGGGAAAGACAGACAGAAAUACUGAUAUGAGAGAACCACAAUGAUUGGUUCCUCCUGCUUGAGGCCCUACCAGGGCCCUGGCCGGGGAGAAGCCCGCAACCAAAGUACAUGCCCUUGACCAGAAUCAAACCUGGGACCCUUUGGUCCACAGGCUGAUGCUCUAUCCACUGAGCCAAACCAGCUAGAGCUGUAAUAUAAGGUUUUGGAUAAAUUUACAAAUCUGUGUCAUAGGGCAAUCAAGUCCUAUGAAAUGGGGAUUAUACUUGGCCCACACCA